rnacentral:rRNA from 1 species
AGCGCCACGAGUGGCAACCGCGUUUAUUGGGCCUAAAGCGUCCGUAGCCGGCCUUGUAAAUCUUUUGUGAAAUUGUUUGGCUUAACUAAACAACGUGCAAGAGACACUGCAAGGCUCGAGACCGGGAGGAGUCAGAAGUAUUCCAGGGGGAGCGGUAAAAUGUUAUAAUCCCUGGAGGACUACCUGUGGCGAAGGCGUCUGACCAGAACGGAUCUGACGGUGAGGGACGAAAGCCAGGGGAGCAAAACC